rnacentral:rRNA from 1 species
AUUGAACGCUGGCGGCAUGCCUUACACAUGCAAGUCGAACGGUAACAGGUCUUCGGAUGCUGACGAGUGGCGAACGGGUGAGUAAUACAUCGGAACGUGCCCAGACGUGGGGGAUAACGAGGCGAAAGCUUUGCUAAUACCGCAUACGAUCUAAGGAUGAAAGCAGGGGACCGCAAGGCCUUGCGCGUUUGGAGCGGCCGAUGGCAGAUUAGGUAGUUGGUGGGAUAAAAGCUUACCAAGCCGACGAUCUGUAGCUGGUCUGAGAGGACGACCAGCCACACUGGGACUGAGACACGGCCCAGACUCCUAAGGGAGGCAGCAGUUGGGAAUUUUGGACAAUGGGCGAAAGCCUGAUCCAGCAAUGCCGCGUGGAGGAUGAAGGCCUUCGGGUUGUAAACUGCUUUUGUACGGAAAGAAAAGGCUCUGGCUAAUACCUGGGGCACAUGACGGUACCGUAAGAAUAAGCACCGGCUAACUACGUG